GACACUAUGUCUAUGAAUUCUAUGACACUAGGUCUAUGAAUUCUAUGACAAUAGGUCUAUGAAUUCUAUGACAAUAGUUCUAUGACAAUAGGUCAAUGUUUCUUCGUCAGUGUACGAAUGUCUAUUAUACACGAUACUACAAAGAGCAAGACCUGAAGUAUUCAAGCCAGUGAAAUGGUCGCAAACUUGACAAAAUAGUACCCGUGUCAUUAAAUUCUUUAACGCUUCACGUUCCGCCACUCGUACUAUGUCUAUAAUUUUACGACACAAGGCAGACAUAUCACUAAUAUCAUUAGCCAAUUUGAUAGAAUUGUGUUAAUUUAAUGUAUAACUCUUAUUUACAAUUGCUCGGGACAUCCAACGAAGUGUACAAAACUAGCUUAUUUUUUUCUGUGAAAUAACCUUGAUACGUUAUUUUCAGUUCCUAACCCACCUGCCGUAUGUAAGAAGUCAAUCCCUGGAAUUCCGCUGGUGAAAGACGUCUGCGUGCAGGUGAAGAAUAUCGAUCUGAAAAAAGCUUCCGGUUGCGUUUAUAUCAGUUUUAAGGUGAGUGUGAAAAAAAUAUCGAUCAAGAUUGCUUGCUUCACAAUACCACAUGAUGAUAUCGAAAUUGGCGGGGAAAGUGACGUCACAGUUGAAGCUGUUGAACAAAAUGAAGUAACUGAAGACAGUGUAGUGGAAGGGGAAAACAGUGACGUAGAGUCUAUUGAUCUUGAAGAUGGUACACUCAAGUUUCAGCCGUUCUCAAACAAGUCAUGAACAAUUAUGAUUUAACAUUAUUUGCUAUAUACACUCGGGAAAAUACAUGUGUACGAACAUGUGUGAAGUUUGUUUUAAACACGCUACUUCACGAGUUUAUAUUUUCUAUUAUUUUGAAUAGAUUCUAUAUCAAGAUCUAAUUGAUUUAUAAUAAGUCUAAUAAACUAGAAAAUUCUA